rnacentral:tRNA from 1 species
GCCUGGGUGGCUCAGUCGGUUGAGCGUCCGACUUCAGCUCAGGUCACAAUCUAGCAGUCUGUGAGUUCGAGCCCCGCAUCAGGCU